rnacentral:piRNA from 1 species
UUUUGGUGGAGAUGGGGAUUCGCUGU